CCUUCCCCACCUCCAUUGGCAGAGACCAGCUCUUCACAUCCUAUAGUCACUACGGACGCACAAAUUAUUGCUUUAAUGCAGUAAAUGAAGGUGUUGACAGAGGUGGUACACAGCCUCCAACAAUAACAGAUACAGCAACAGCAGCAGCCACUGGCGGAGGAGCCGGUAGCGCAUUCAGUGCCAUCCAAGCAUAGCCGAUGUCCUCCACGACACUCACCCUCUUCAUCUCCAGAACGACGACC
rnacentral:lncRNA from 1 species